rnacentral:rRNA from 1 species
UACGUAGGCAGCAAGCGUUGUUCGGAGUUACUGGGCGUAAAGGGUGUGUAGGCGGUUUCGUAAGUCUGGUGUGAAAUCUCCCGGCUCAACUGGGAGGGUGCGCCGGAAACUGCGAGGCUAGAGUGUGGGAUGGAGAGUGGAAUUCCUGGUGUAGCGGUGAAUGCGUAGAUAUCAGGAGGAACACCUGCGGUGUAGACGGCUCUCUGGACCACUACUGACGCUGAAACACGAAAGCGUGGGUAGCAAACAGG